GAUGAACGCUAGCGGCAGGCCUAAUACAUGCAAGUCGAACGGUGUCUUCGGACAUAGUGCGCACGGGUGCGUAACACGUAUGCAACCUACCUUACAUUGGGGGAUAGCCUUUCGAAAGGGAGAUUAAUACCGCAUAAGACAGUAACUAGGCAUCUAGUAGCUGUUAAAGAUUUAUCGAUGUAAGCUGGGCAUGCGACCAAUUAGCUAGUUGGUGAGGUAAUGGCUCACCAAGGCUAUGAUUGGUAGGGGAACUGAGAGGUCAAUCCCCCACACUGGCACUGAGAUACGGGCCAGACUCCUACGGGAGGCAGCAGUAGGGAAUAUUGGGCAAUGGACGCAAGUCUGACCCAGCCAUGCCGCGUGCAGGAUGAAGGCGUUAUGCGUUGUAAACUGCUUUUAUACAGGAAGAAACGACUCUUGCGAGAGGCAUUGACGGUACUGUAUGAAUAAGCACCGGCUAACUCCGUGC
rnacentral:rRNA from 1 species